rnacentral:ncRNA from 12 species
UUUGAGCCGAGGGGCCUUACGGAAACAUCAAGCAGCGCUAGCUGGAAACCGUAGUAAGCGAGCCCGCAACACGUGAAGGACUGACUGAAGCGUGAUGAAAUACUGAGCCCACUUCGCAAGGGGCAGUCAGGCAGUAGUAAU